rnacentral:lncRNA from 1 species
GGCAAUCGCCACCAAUCCAGCGUGCGAAUCUGGUCCAUCAACUGUGACCUCAACUCCACAUCUCAGCAGCUAGCCAUAAUCUCGCGCUCCCGACUAGUUCGGGGGUCUCCCCAGGAAUCGAACCCAGGACCUUAAACCGCUAAUUGCAGUAGUGUCAACCCAGACCAGACCAAUGACAUCUAACCUAUGUUGGGCCCAUACUCUAGCCGCAGCAUGGAUACGAGUAAAUGCCGAAUGCGUAAAUAAACCUGCUACAUUAUGGGACGCUAUACGAAGGGGUCUAUUAUUAGGCCUCCUGCAUCUUGUCCGUCGCCCCAUUUACCUAGGGGGUAUUUCCGUAUCUCCAUUUCCGCGGACUACUACUGUAUUUCUCCCUUCCUCCUCCUCGCUGACUUGCAUGAGGUCACCCGGGUCGUCAUCGUGGGAGUGUUGAGGAAAAUGUUGUCCGGUCAGUCUGUCGCCUGGUGCUUGCGUGAUAGUUGGUUUCUGGAUAGAGUGGAGCCAUCUUCCGUACUUGCUGAUCGACUGUCGAACUCGUGAAUAAAUAGGAAUGAGCCAGCGAUUAUCUUUGGUCUGGCAUGCUUCUAGAGUAGUGAGUUGUGGCUGAGCCGAGCCGUUAGUCGCUUUGUAAACGCUCUGGCAAUCACUAUUGCGUCCGAUCCAUUUAGCCUUCAAGACUCAUCGCAAUAAAAAUAGCGGAAAAAGGAAAAUUCACAAAAGAUCUAGCUUCGACACGCGGCAUGCAAGAUGGGAUGUAUGUAUACAAGGAAACCAUCCAAGGAAGUUUCCGAAUUGCAUGCAAACAUAUUAGCAUACGGAUAAACGGCUUUUGAUUGGCGACAAGCAAGCAGAAGCAAGCUUCCCAACUUGUCACCUCCAAGAACCUAGCUAGUAAGUACGUGUAGAUACCCUCCUACCUAUCCAACUUACUAAGCCACAAAAACUGUGAGCAUUACAACACGAGCAAACUAUUCCUGGAUGGAUGGAUGGAUGUUGGAUGGAUGUUACAAGCUUCAGCGAGCUCGUACGGCCCAAACGAACCCGGAGGCUCAUGAACCGCUUUGACAGCGCUGUCGAUAGGGAAAAGAAAAAAAGAGAAAAAGUAAACGAAGCAAACAAACAAAAAAAAAAGGAAAGUUUUACGCAAGAAGAAAACGGGUGUUUAUGAGAAAGAACAGCGUCAAUUUGACUCUGAAACACAAUUGCCUAUUACCGCCGAGAAAGUUAGGUAGUUAGGUGCUCAUGCAGGGAGCGAAACAUCUCAAAAAUAGCCUUUGCAAGACCACGCUGAUCAUCCACUUGCAUGAUAUCACGGAUGUUCGCAUUGACGGGCACACCGAGGUCCCAGAUCUUCUGACGCUCAGACAUAAUCGCUGGACAUUCUACCAAGAAGUGUUUCUCAUCCUCAAUAGCACCAUUACUACGACACACAGCGCACACGCGGUGCUCCCUAGCCCUGUUGCUCUCACUGUUAACCGCCAGGUCAGAGACACACAAAGGAAAGCGAAUUAGGGCACGAUGAUGCGCCGGGGGGAUAUAACCCGCGUACGGCUUCGGUGGCCCCAUCCAGUGCUUAUGGCGGCCCAUCUUCACGCCGGGCUUCCUACCAUCCGUAACGAAAACUCUAGGGUCCACAGCUAGCCUAUCAUUCGCCCAGUCGUCGUUGACACGUGUCCUAAGGGUAUCCAUCAGCACUUCGACAUCAAGCUUGCAAGCCGAGUAACGUCUAACCCUCAUAUCAAUGCCUCCCCCGACUGCCUCCUCACCCCAGUCAUGCUCUAAGUGGUUAAGGAUACGAAUGACUUUGGAUCCCCAACCAUCAAACUGUAAAUCCGUUACUAACGCCAAACUAUUCCUAAACGCAGCAUUAUGUACGGCAGUAGGUCCACGACUGAUGUAUCCAUACCGAUGGAUACAUCCGCCUUAUCAGCGGAUGUUUAUAUUACGCCACGUGAAUUCCUGGUUGCUUGCCGUCUGACGGGUACACGUCUGGCUGGUCAUCUAGACGCGUAUGCUUCCAACCACCCAUCAAUCGAUCCUUGAACUCCAAUACCACACCUUCUGGGGGUGUUCCAUUUGGAUUAAAAGUCACGGAUUAAUCUUUUCUUAAUCCGCACCAAUUCGCCGCUAAUCUACGGGAAUGUUUCAUAGGUCUGGAUUAAGGAACGGAUUAAAGUAAAACAAUUGCCAUUCUGUGCAUAUAAUGCUGUUGUGACUACUCGUAAAUAGCCAGAAAUAGCUGACACAAGAUCCAGUUAAGCACGAGCUGGAUAAGCGAGCUGACACUUUGCCCUAACUCGAAGGACACUCCAAAGUCCCAAUGAGCAAUAGUUGUUACAAUCAGCUUGAUAAUGAAGUCUUGCCUCAGGGUACAAAUAGUACCAAUAGAUCAAGUCCGUACGAUAAGACCCAACUAGGAAUCACACCAAUCGUAGUACAAAGCUUAUCGCGACGACAAGCUAUAAAAGCCUAGGAAGUCUGACCGGAAUUACAACACUCCCCCGCGGACAGACUUCCGUACAACAAAUAACUAGGGUUAGCUUCUUCGUUUGUGGCGGAAACCACUACGCGAGGGACUGUUCAAUGAAGGUCAGCGCUUCUGGUCCCUCAGGCUCGGGUCGCUCGCACGGUGGGUCAGAGUUGCGGUGUGAUUGGUGCGGGAAGACGGGCCAUCUGUCAGAAAAGUGUUAUUGUAAGCGGCAGGGUUUGCCUAGGAGUGCCGAACGGAAACUGGAGGUCGUUGCGUUGACACUCAUGGCUCGAGAACAGCAAUUCGUUCCCCAGCAGACGAGAGAUGAGGAGAGUCUCGACUACUACGUUCGUAAUCCGCCUAGGAGCGCGUCCGUAGCUUUGGGGCGGGCACCCUUUAUUGCGAGGAUUCGAAGUAUAGUUUCGCAGUAUCCCAAGAACCCGUGGUGGUUGGAUUCCGGUAGCAAAUACCACGUUACGGGCGACCGGAGUAUCCUCCAUGACUACUGCCGGAUUGGCCCGGAUUUGUCGAUUACGAUCGAGGUUGGUAACGGGAACGUGCUGCAGGCUGAGGGUUACCCGUUGUCCAUUGUCAUCGUUGCUAUCCCAUCGACAGCCCACUAGAAAGGGCAUGGAGCACCUACAAGGCAGUUCUAGUGAACCGUUACAUCGACUGAACAGGUUAAGGCCCCAAUCCCUGGUGUUCUCACUUUGGCUUUGACGACUGGUGGGACUUCUUGCUGCCAUUGCCCUCCUCUAACACCCGUUCAGCACCACUGCUCGAGGGACCAGUCACUGCUGCCGCUGCCAUGGCAGCGUCUGGCCGCGGCGUGGGCGCGGUCGUGGGUGCAGGCGCAGGUGGGGACGCGGUCGUGGGUGCAGGUGGGGCUGUGGUUUUUUUUACUUCGGUGUCAAAUGGCGGCCCCGGCUGUCCACAUGUCGCCACUACCACCCAGCGAAAACCACGGAGCAAGGCACACUCCCUCGCAUGCGCGUGCUCUGCUGUCGCAGAGCUCAAUGCGAAGCCCCUGUUGGUCGGUAGCUGCACGUCGCCUGCCCAGGGCAGAGGGCCGCUGUGCACGCUGUGGUGAAGAGAUGGCAAGACGUGCCCUGGUAUCCGUUCCGUGACUAACAGUUGCGCCAGUAGCAAUCGGACGCGUCCCAUAUCCACAGCCCCCCCUUUCCCUGCCUUGCUGGGAUUGAAAAGCUCCGCCAUGCUCAUACUACGGGGAAGUUCCGACAGCCGCACUGUGAAGUCCUCC